ACUCCUACGGGAGGCAGCAGUGGGGAAUCUUGCACAAUGGGGGCAACCCUGAUGCAGCGACGCCGCGUGCGCGAUGAAGCCCUUCGGGGUGUAAAGCGCUUUCGACAGGGACGAUGAUGACGGUACCUGGAGAAGAAGCUGCGGCUAACUACGUGCCAGCAGCCGCGGUAAUACGUAGGCAGCAAGCGUUGUUCGGAGUUACUGGGCGUAAAGAGUGUGUAGGCGGCGGCCCCAGUCUGGUGUGAAAUCUCCCGGCUUAACCGGGAGGGUGCGCCGGAAACUAGGUUGCUUGGAGUAUGGGAGAGGGAAGCGGAAUUCCUGGUGUAGCGGUGAAAUGCGUAGAUAUCAGGAGGAACACCGGUGGUGUAGACGGCUUCCUGGACCAUGACUGACGCUGAGACACGAAAGCGUGGGGAGCAAACAGGAUUAGAUACCCUGGUAGCUACGAG
rnacentral:rRNA from 1 species